CCUACGGGGGGCUGCAGUGGGGAAUAUUGCACAAUGGGCGCAAGCCUGAUGCAGCCAUGCCGCGUGUGUGAAGAAGGCCUUCGGGUUGUAAAGCACUUUCAGCGGGGAGGAAGGCGGUGAGGUUAAUAACCUCAUCGAUUGACGUUACCCGCAGAAGAAGCACCGGCUAACUCCGUGCCAGCAGCCGCGGUAAUACGGAGGGUGCAAGCGUUAAUCGGAAUUACUGGGCGUAAAGCGCACGCAGGCGGUCUGUCAAGUCGGAUGUGAAAUCCCCGGGCUCAACCCGGGAACUGCAUUCGAAACUGGCAGGCUAGAGUCUUGUAGAGGGGGGUAGAAUUCCAGGUGUAGCGGUGAAAUGCGUAGAGAUCUGGAGGAAUACCGGGGGCGAAGGCGGCCCCCUGGACAAAGACGGACGCUCAGGUGCGAAAGCGUGGGGAGCAAACAGGAUUAGAUACCCCAUAGUC
rnacentral:rRNA from 1 species